GGGGGAUUAGCUUCAUUGUCAAAAGGGUAAUAGCCCAGAUCACCAGUUAAGGCCCCUAAAUAAUUGCUAAGUGACAAAGGAUGUAUUGAUGCGUAGACAACCAGGAGGUUUGCUUAGAAGCAGCAAUCCUUUAAAAAGUGCGUAAUAGCUUACUGGUCAAGUGCCUUUGCGCCUAUAAUGUACGGGACUAAGUAAUUUGCCGAAACUGUGAGUUAAAUCGGUAGAAGAGCGUUCUGAUUGGUUUGAAGUAAUAACGAAAGUAAUUAUGGACUUUUCAGAAGUGAGAAUGUCGGCUUAAGUAACGAAAACAUUGGUGGGAAUCCAAUGCUCCGAAAACCUAAGGUUUCCUUUGCAAGGUUCGUCCACGAAGGGUUAGUCAGGUUCUAAAAAGAGGCCGAACGGCGUAUUUGAUGAAUAGCAGGUUAAUAUUCCUGCACUACAUUAAGUUUGAUUAAGAGGGACGAAGAAGGCUAAGUUAGCCAAAGAUUGGUUGUUUUGGUUUAAACUUUCGAGAUGUUGAGAAACUUAAUUAAAAAAUGUUUUGAGUUGAGAAGUGAAUACGAAGAUACUAAGGUAUUGAAGUAACUUAUGUCAUGCUUUCUAGAAAAUCUAUUGUAAUCGUCAAUUUAAUGUACCUGUACCGUAAACUGACACAGGUAGGUAGGUAGAGUAUACCAAGGAGCGCGAGAGAACUCUUUUUAAGGAACUCGGCAAAAUAGCCUUGUAACUUCGGGAGAAAAGGUGCCUUAAUAAAAUAAUUAAGGUCGCAGCGAUCAGAUCCAGGCGACUGUUUACCAAAAACACAGGUCUCCGCUAAGUUGAAAAACGAUGUAUGGGGGCUGACGCCUGCCCAGUGCUGGAAGGUUAAAAAAAUUGGUUAGCAUUAGCGAAGCUAGUAAUUGAAGCCCCAGUGAACGGCAGCAGUAAAUAUAACUGUUCUAAGGUAGCGAAAUUCCUUGUCGGGUAAGUUCCGACCCGCACGAAAGGCGUAACGAUCUGGAAACUGUCUCAAAAAGAGACUCGGUGAAAUAGAAUUAACUGUGAAGAUGCGGUUAACUUGCACUUGGACAGAAAGACCCUAUGAAGCUUUACUGUAACUUGAUAUUGUUUUCGGACUUUUUUUGCGCAGCAUAGGUGGGAGGCUUAGAUUCUUUUUUUCGGAAAAUGAGGAGCCAUAAAUGAGAUACCACUCUAAAAAAGUUAGAAAUCUAAUGAUGUUUCUUUAUCAGAACAUUUGACAGUGUCAGGCGGGCAGUUUUACUGGGGCGGUAGCCUCCCAAAAGGUAACGGAGGCGUACAAAGGUUUUCUCAGACUGUAUGGAAAUUUGUUUUAGCGUGUAAAGGCAUAAGAAAGCUUAACUGUUAGACUAACAUGUCAAGCAGAGACGAAAGUCGGUCUUAGUGAUCCGACGAUACUGAAUGUAAAGGUCGUCGCUUAACGGAUAAAAGUUACUCUAGGGAUAACAGGCUGAUCUCCUCCAAGAGUUCACAUCGACGAGGAGGUUUGGCACCUCGAUGUCGGCUCAUCGCAACCUGGAGCGGUAGUACGUUCCAAGGGUUGGGCUGUUCGCCCAUUAAAGCGGUACGUGAGCUGGGUUCAGAACGUCGAGAGACAGUUCGGUCCAUAUCCGGUGUAAGCGUUAGAGUAUUGAAAGGAUCUUUUUCUAGUACGAGAGGACCGAAAAAGACACACCUCUGGUGUACCAGUUCUUAUGCCAAUAGAAAAUGCUGGCUACUCAAGUGUGGAGUGGAUAACUGC
rnacentral:rRNA from 1 species